GUGGGGAAUAUUCCGCAAUGGACGAAAGUCUGACGGAGCAACGCCGCGUGAGUGAUGAAGGUUUUCGGACUGUAAAGCUCUGUUGUUUAGGACGAAAGUGCCUGUUGCAAAUAGUUACAGGUAUUGACGGUACUGAACGAGGAAGCCACGGCUAACUACGUGCCAGCAGCCGCGGUAAUACGUAGGUGGCAAGCGUUGUCCGGAAUUAUUGGGCGUAAAGAGCAUGUAGGCGGGAAUCUAAGUCUGUUGUGAAAAUGCGGGGCUCAACCCCGUAUGGCGAUGGAAACUGGAUUUCUUGAGUGCAGGAGAGGAAAGGGGAAUUCCCAGUGUAGCGGUGAAAUGCGUAGAUAUUGGGAGGAACACCAGUGGCGAAGGCGCCUUUCUGGACUGUGUCUGACGCUGAGAUGCGAAAGCGUGGGGAUCAAACAGGAUUAGAAACCCCAGUAGUCC
rnacentral:rRNA from 1 species